AAGCCACUGUGUUUCAAGACGAACUCGAGUAUUCAUUGGAUUUAUUUUUAUUAAUGUGUUAGUGGUGUUUUCAAUGUUAAAUUUCGUGCUAUUAUGUUGCCAAAAUAAUUGGAGCUAAUAAUUAAUAAUUGCUGAAUUUUGAAGGAACCCAUUAAAGUGUUACAAAUGGUCCAACAAAUUAACUCGCGUAUUUGCCGUGAAAACAAUUUAAUUGUUCCUGCAACCUUGUAAAUCAAGAUAUUAAUUAUCGGAUGUUAUUAAAACAUCUGUAGUCAAAUACUUGUUUAGUUCACAUUUGCAUUAUGAUGCGCUCAGAAGCCACCUUUCUGUGCUUUUGGGCAAUGGUGACGCUGAGUUGUUGCCACAAUGAGACUGAAAAUGUUCUGUCUCUGGAACACAGCAUUGAUGAAAACGGAUAUGAUUUGAAUUUUGAGACUGUGGGCAAUAACAGCAUUAUUCACACUGAAACCGGAAGGUUGGUAAAAAAUGGAGAUGGUGUAUUUUUGAGAGCGGAAGGAAUAUUUCGAUAUACUGGUGAAGAUGGAAAUGUGUACUUAAUGGAGUAUACACUUGACGAAAACGGGUAUCAAUUUGAAACGACUUUGUUAGACGGGGCAGACGAGGAAGGAAGAAUAAGUAGUGGAGCACUUGCUAGUUUAGCUGGAGGUGGGCUUGGGUAGCAAAAUUUAAUUAGCUAUCGAUAAUAUGAGUAUAAUAUGUGAGAUUAAACAAACAAAUAAAGCGUUUUAUUAAUCAAA